AUCAUUUUUUUUUUUUAAGAUUAUUUUUGGGGGCUUUUCCCUUUUAUCCGAGAGCAACAGUGGAUAGACAGGAAAGUGGGAGAGAAAGAGAAGGGGUGACACGCAGCAGAGGGCCGCAGGUCGGAUUCGAACCCCGGCCGCUGCAAAGGACUCAGCCUACAUGGGGCGCCCGCUCUUACUGGGUGAGCUGGGACUCUGGUUUUAAAGGGACAAUUCACCCCAAAGCCAAAAUUAGUGUUAGUUUGCUGAUUUGAAAAUCUAAAUACCAACCUGUUAUGUUUCUGUCUUUGAAUGAAUGAAUGAUAUUACACUGAAAGUAAAGCAGCAUAUAGGCGAGAGAAGGGGCGCCUAACGUCCCCAGCAGUAUCUAAACUAUUAUUUUUUAUUGAGCUUAUAUUUUUCUCUCCUUGCAAAAACUCAGCUCUCUAAAAUUCACUGAGCUCCAUAACGAUCCUUCUCUUUUCAUAGAGUGGAUGGAUCAGAAAACAGUUUUUACAAUUUACACACACACAGA